rnacentral:rRNA from 1 species
GACGUUGAUAGGUUACAGGUGUACAGAUGGUAACAUCACAGCCGAGUAAUACUAAUUGCCCGUAAGCUUUAACUUUAUUAUUACUUCGUUGUCCAGAACAACAAACUUAGUAUACAACUUUCUUCCAAUAUGUCACCUUAUUGUUUGCUGUAAAGCAAAAAGAUCUUAUGGUGGUUUUGCCAAGGGUGUUCACCUCUUCCCAUUCCGAACAGAGAAGUUAAGCCCCUUAUGGCCGAUGGUACUGCACAACAAUGCGGGAGAGUAGGUAGCUGCCAUAU